GACGAACGCUGGCGGCGUGCUUAACACAUGCAAGUCGAACGGAAAGGCCCUGCUUUUGUGGGGUGCUCGAGUGGCGAACGGGUGAGUAACACGUGAGUAACCUGCCCUUGACUUUGGGAUAACUUCAGGAAACUGGGGCUAAUACCGGAUAGGAGCUCCUGCUGCAUGGUGGGGGUUGGAAAGUUUCGGCGGUUGGGGAUGGACUCGCGGCUUAUCAGCUUGUUGGUGGGGUAGUGGCUUACCAAGGCUUUGACGGGUAGCCGGCCUGAGAGGGUGACCGGCCACAUUGGGACUGAGAUACGGCCCAGACUCAUACGGGAGGCAGCAGUGGGGAAUAUUGCACAAUGGGCGGAAGCCUGAUGCAGAAACGCCGCGUGCGGGAUGACGGCCUUCGGGUUGUAAACCGCUUUCGCCUGUGACGAAGCGUGAGUGACGGUAAUGGGUAAAGAAGCACCGGCUAACUACGUG
rnacentral:rRNA from 1 species